AACAAAAACAAUAAUAUUUUCCCCCCAUUCUUUCACAAAUACUGUAUACAUUCUUCAUUGUAUAUUUUCGUUACGUACAAAAGUUAUAUUAUGUGUACCCUAUUUUUUAUUCCUAUUGAUAAUUUUAAGUUUUUCCACAGGGCACAUAUGUUUGAAAUCAGCUUUCCUAUUAUAAUUUCUUGGGAAUUUCGUAUCUGGAAUUUCAAGAGGUGGAAUUUAUUUUGUAAAUGUACCCAACACCAUUUUGUUGUUGCUGUUGAAAAUAGAUCAUUUAAUUCUGUUGUUUUUAAAAGUACUAAAGGGCAAAAGAAACUAUUAUCUGUAAUUAUUGUUUAGCAAACUACAGUAAGUGUAACUGAAACUGAUUUGAGAUAAUGUAGAAAGAAAUAGAAAGAGAACAGCAGUAUUAUAUAUAGACACGGAAUACAUUGUUAAGUUCACGUAAAAGAUAUUCUACUAAAAGUAUAAUUUGAUUGAGAAAGAAUCAGAGUGAGAGUAAAACUUCCUCCAGAAGUUAAAAAUGAAUAUGAAUGUGACAUAGGAUUUUGGAGUGGCAUGCAUAAUAAUCUCUGAUAGCUCUAGUUUGGGAUUUUCCAGCAUAUAUCAACUCUAUUUCAUUAAAGCCUUUUUGCAUUGUAAUAGUUGAUAUAAACUUGCACAUAUUUAGUGUAUAGAUUCUGAUUCACUUGGACAUAUUACCGAUAUCCAAUCAAUCCCAUUACUAUGAACAAGAGUAAACUAUGUUCUCCUGAUAGUCCCUUUCUACCCAUAGGUUCAUGUGUGUCUAAAUUAUACCAAGUUCUCAUAAAUUGACAGAAUUUCAGUGGAUCACAGAAAUAUUCUCAAUAUAUUUCUUGUACAUUCAAACUUAGUAUUAAGAAAUAUCAGAAUUCUCAUGCUCAUGGCAAUUAUGCUCAUGGGGAUUUAAGUAUGAAAAUAAACUAUAUGUUUACUUGUUGAGGAAAAGUUUGGGAACUCAAAAUGACAUAGUGAUAUAUAAAUGAUUACUUACUGC
rnacentral:lncRNA from 1 species